AAGCAUAUCAAUAAGCGGAGGAAAAGAAACCAACAGGGAUUGCCUCAGUAACGGCGAGUGAAGCGGCAAGAGCUCAAAUUUGAAAGCUGGCCCCCUCGGGGUCCGCAUUGUAAUUUGCAGAGGAUGCUUCGGGAGUGGCCCCAUCUAAGUGCCCUGGAACGGGCCGUCAUAGAGGGUGAGAAUCCCGUCUGGGAUGGGGUGCCCACGCCCGUGUGAAGCUCCUUCGACGAGUCGAGUUGUUUGGGAAUGCAGCUCUAAAUGGGUGGUAAAUUUCAUCUAAAGCUAAAUACUGGCCGGAGACCGAUAGCGCACAAGUAGAGUGAUCGAAAGAUGAAAAGCACUUUGAAAAGAGAGUUAAACAGCACGUGAAAUUGUUGAAAGGGAAGCGCUUGCGACCAGACUCGCCCACGGGGUUCAGCCGGCAUUCGUGCCGGUGUACUUCCCCGCGGGCGGGCCAGCGUCGGUUUGGGCGGCCGGUCAAAGGCCCUCGGAAUGUAACGCCCCCCGGGGCGUCUUAUAGCCGAGGGUGCCAUGCGGCCAGCCCGGACCGAGGAACGCGCUUCGGCUCGGACGCUGGCAUAAUGGUCGUAAGCGACCCGUCUUGAAACACGGACCAAGGAGUCUAACAUCUACGCGAGUGUUCGGGUGUCAAACCCGUGCGCGCAGUGAAAGCGAACGGAGGUGGGAACCCCUCGGGGCGCACCAUCGACCGAUCCUGAUGUCUUCGGAUGGAUUUGAGUAAGAGCGUAGCUGUUGGGACCCGAAAGAUGGUGAACUAUGCCUGAAUAGGGCGAAGCCAGAGGAAACUCUGGUGGAGGCUCGCAGCGGUUCUGACGUGCAAAUCGAUCGUCAAAUUUGGGUAUAGGGGCGAAAGACUAA
rnacentral:rRNA from 1 species